AGGCAGAAGAAUAGCUCGAAUCCAACAGGCGAGGUUGCAGUGAGCCAAGAUGACACCACUGCACUCCAGCCUGGGCAACAGAGCGAGACUCUGUCUCAGAAAAAGAAGAAAAGAAAAAUAAAUUAAGAAAAUCAGUCUUCUUUGUAGAGACAUAACAUAAUCCAGACACUCUACAAUGUAUCAUUCACAACAUCCAGAAAACAACCUACAAUGAAACAGGAAACAGGGCCCAUUCUCAAGAAUAAAGACCAGGAAUGGAGGCUGAUUCUGAGUUGAUUAAGAUGGUGGAUUAGCAGACAAAAGAUUUUUUUUUUUUUUUUUGGAGACGGAAUCUCACUCUGUCACCCAGGCUGGAGUACAGUGGCACGAUCUCGGCUCACUGCAACCUCCAUCUCCUGGGUUCAGACGAUUCUCCUACCUCAGCCUCCUGAGUAAGUAGCUGGGACUACAGGUGCGUGCCACCACGCCCAGCUAAUUUUUUGUAUUUUUAGUAGAGAUGGGGUUUCACUGUGUUAGCCAGUAUGGUCUCGAUCUCCUGACCUCGUGAUCCAUCUGCCUUGGCCUCCCAAAGUGCUGGGAUUACAGGCGUGAGCCACCACGCCCGGCGACAAAAGAUUUUUAACAGCUAUUAUAACUAUACUCAAAGGACAUAAAAAAGAAUAAGUGGAAAUUCUAGAAUUGAAAACUUUAAUAUCUCAUAAUGGAGGGGAGAUGGCAAGAGUCAGUGAGCAUGAAGAUGAAUGAACAGAAAUUGCCCAAUUUGCAGAAGAGAGGAAAGAGAACAUAGUUGCAGUGACCUAUGGGACAGUAUCAAAAGGAUAACAUAUGUGCAGUUGCAAUUCUAGAAGAAGAGAGAGAAUGAGGCAUGAAAAAAUAUUUGAAGAAAUAAUCGAUGAAAAUUCUCAAGUUUGGUGAAAGACAUCAAUGUACAGAUUUAGGCUCAGGACACUUUUAGCAGGAUAAACUCAAAGGAAACCACACCUUUCAAUCAUAAUGCUGAAAACCAAAGAUGAGGUGCAAAUCUUGAAAGCACCCACAUGAAAAAAAUAAUAGAUAAGGAACAAUGAUUUGAAUGGGUCCUUUUCAUCAGAAAAACAUGGAGAACAAAAAACACUGAAACGGCUGGGUGCGGUGGCUCAUGCCUGUAAUCCCAGCACUUUAGGAGGCUGAGGCAGGUGAAUCACGAGGUCAGGAGAUAGAGACCAUCCUGGCUAACAUGGUGAAACCCCGUCUCUACUAAAAAAUACAAAAAAAAAAUUAGCCGGGCGUGGUGGCAGCCGCCUAUAGUCCCAGCUACUUGGGAGGCUGAGGCAGGAGAAUGGCAGGGGCAUGAACCCAGGAGGCGGAGCUUGCCGUGAGCCGAGAUCACACCACUGCACUCCAGCCUGGGCGACAGAAGGAGACUCCAUCCCAAAAAAAGAAAACUCAUAGGAUGAUAUUAAAGGAAGUCUUGUCAGAAUGAAGGGAAAUGAUACUGGAUCCAUACUUGGAUCUUCAGAAAGGAAUAAAAAGCACCAGAAAUGGUAAAUAUGUGGGCCAAUAUAAAAGCCUAUCUUUUUCUUAUUACUUCUUUAAAAUACAUGAUUGUAUGAAAGUUAUAACACCACCUUGUGGGGGUUUAUGACACAUGUAGAUGUAACUGAUAAGACAACUGCAAUAUAAAGGAUAGAAGGGGCAGGAAAUGCACCUAAAUGGUUGCGAAGUUUCUUCAUUUUAUGUUAAGUGGUACAAAAUUAAUUCUAAAAAGACUGUGAGGGUCUUAUGCCUGUAAUACCAGCACCUUGGGAGGCGAAGGUAGGAGGACUGCGGGAGCCCGGGAAUUCAAGACUAGCCUGGGCAAUAUGGCGAAACCCUGACUCUACAAAAAUUUUUUACAAUAUAUAAAUAAAAAGUUGUGAGAAGUUAUGGAUGUAUACUGUUAUUUCUAUAGUAAUCACUGGAAAAUAACUCAGAAGUACAGCUAAAAAAUAAAUAGGCAAAUUAAAUUAAAAUUCUAAAAACAAUUCAAUUCAUUCAAAAAGAAGGCUGAAAGUAAAAAAUAGAGAAACAAAAAACAGAAGGGCAAAAGAAAAACAAAUAAUAAAAUGACGGUAAAUUCAAUCACAUCAAUGAUUAAAUUUAACAUGAAUGGACUAAGUACUACAGUUACAAAGCCAGAGAUUGUCACAAUGGAUAACAAAAGUAUGCAGAACAUCUUAAUAAAGGCAUUUUAAAAACUUGACUAAAGAGCAUAAAAGAAAACCUGAAUCAAAGGUGACACUGACUCUAUUCAUUGUAGACUAUAACUUAAAUUGUAAAAGUAUGAUUCUUCUCUCAGAUUAAUAUAAAAAUUUAGUAUAAUUAUAAUUAUAAAUCCUAGAAGGAUAUUUUGAGAACUUGAUAUAAUACUAAAAUUCAAAUAAAGGAACAAAUGUAUCUAAAUUUUAAGAUAAUUUUGAGGGGAUUGAACAAACAGGGAAGAUGACUUGCUUCUCAGAUAUUAAAAUAUACCCCUAAAUCAUAAUAAUUAAAAUAGUUUGACAGUGGCCCAGAAAAUUCACGUAACAAUGAAAAAGGAUAUAGUUUAACAUGCAUUUAUAAACUUUGACUAUCAUAUGGUGACAUCACAAGUCAUUGAGAAAAAUAAAGUAUUAGUAAAUAAUGUAUAAUUGGCUCACUAUGGAGGUCUUCCUUUCAUACAACGUGUAGGAAUAAAUUCAAAGAUCGACUAAUGGUCUACAUUCGACAGCUAAAACUAGAAAGCUAAUAGAAAAAGUAGGUGAGUAACUUUGUGACUUUGAGGUACAGAAGAAUUUAUAUCAGAACUAAGUUUUCAGGUUUACUCUAAACAUAGCAGACUACCACAGGCAAAGUUAAAAGGCAAUAAAUAAAGAAGGAGACAUAUAUAUAUAAAGUUUGUUACCAAAAGGAAUUAAUAUUUAAAACACUUCAGAAAUUACUACAAAAUAGCAGGUAAAACACAGUAAACCAUAUUAAAAAAAGAAAAACUGGCCAAAGGAUAUGGACAGAAAAUUCAUAAAAGGGCAAACCUGAGGCAAGGCCACCACACUGCACAACUCUAGGGGACAACAUUCAUGUGGAAAUAGUGCCCUGGAGGUGUGCAGUUCCCCAGGGCAUGGUUUAUGCAGUGACCAUGUUGACUGGCUGUUAUAUAAAUAAUGCUGAGCCUCACUAGUAAUCAGGAAAAUAAAAUUAAAGCAAAAAGUUACUACUUGGUGCCUAUCAGAUUGAUAGAAUUAAAGAAACAAUUAAUGUGGGAAAGGAGUAUAAAGCAUAAUAUGGUACACAGAACAAUGAAUACAGAUGUAGGUAAAUAUUAAUAAACGAAAAGAAGGAGAACCAGAAGGCUACCUGUUAAAUACAAGAGUGGGUGCCUAUGUAAAGAAUAAAGAAUAGAAAAAGAAUAGAACUGUACAGGCUAAAUGGAGAAAACAAAUGAGGGCCUUGAACAGGUCAACAAUCACAAUAUGCCAUAAACUAGAGUCUGAGUUACUCAAUUUUGUAUACCCAAUAUUAAAAGAAAGAUACAACAGAAAUACCAGAUAAUUCUAGAAAAUGCAAACUAAUUUAUAGUGACAAAAGCAGAUCAGUAGUCUCCUGAGGAGGUGGGGGGCAGGAAGAAGGCAUUACAAAAAGGCAUGAGGAAACUCUUGGAGGUAACUGAUAUGUUCAUUAUCUUUUUCAUUUUUAAAUUUUUUAAGAGACAGGGUCUGGCUUGGUAGUCCAGGCUGGAGUGCAAUGGCAUGACCAUAGAUUAUUGCAACCUCGAACUCCUGGCCUCAAGCAAUCCUCCCUCCUGGGCCUCCCAAAGUGCUGGAAUUACAAGAGUGAGCUACCAUGCCUGGCCUGUUCAUUAUCUUGCUGGUUUCUCAGUUGCAUACUUGUGAAAAGUUACCAAAUCAUACAUUUUAAACAGCAUAGUUUAUUGAACAGCAAUUAUACCUCAAAAAAACUGUUAAAAUUACAUAAAAAACACACCAAAGGCCAGGCGUGGUGGCUCAUGCCUGUAUCCCAGAACACCAGGAGGCUGUGGUAGGAGGAUUGCUUGAGGCCAAGAGUUUGAGACCAGCUUGGGCAACAUAGUAAGACCUUGUCUCUACAAAAAAAAGUUUUUAAUUAACCAGGCAUAGUGGCACACGCCUGUAGUCCCAGCUACUCAGGAAGCCGAGGUGGGAGGAUCGC
rnacentral:lncRNA from 1 species